rnacentral:misc_RNA from 1 species
UCCGGCUUAUCACCGGCAGUCCCUCUAGAGUGCCCAACUAAAUGACGGCAACUAAAGGCGAGGGUUGCGCUCGUUGCGGGACUUAACCCAACAUCUCAAGACACGAGCUGACGACAGCCAUGCAGCACCUCGACUAAUGUCCCUUGCGGGAAAAGAAACUUUCAUCUCCUGUCACUAGCCGUUCGAGCCCAGGUAAGGUUCUUCGCGUUGCGUCGAAUUAAACCACAUACUCCACCGCUUGUGCGGGCCCCCGUCAAUUCCUUUGAGUUUCAGUCUUGCGACCGUACUCCCCAGGCGGAAUGCUUAAUGCGUUAGCUGCGCCACCGAGCAGCAAGCUGCCCAACGGCUGGCAUUCAUCGUUUACGGCGUGGACUAC